AUGCUUGAUUACUUAGGCUACAUGUUGAGGACCGAGAUAUUGGUUUGUGAAUUUAGGGCUUUUGGCUUGCUUUUAUGAAUGCUAUAGACAGCGAUACAUUGGUUGGGAAAAAAUAAAUUUUAUUUAAAUCUGUAAUGUACUAAAGUUGGAUAUAUAUUAACGGUAUGUUCUAUUUAGGAAGUACACCUUGAUGCUUGAAUUUUGAGAUAAAGAUAAACAAAUAAGCAUGGUGCAUGUGGAUGGUUUGUUAACACUGGCUGGUCAGGUGGAAGUUAUGGAUCAGGAAAGCGUAUAAAAUUGGGAUACACACGGAAAAUAAUUGAUGCCAUCCACUCUGGGAAGCUUUUGGAAGCAAACUACACAAAGACAGAGAUGUUUGGGCUUGAAAUCCUAACUGAAAUUGAAGGGGUUCCUUCUGAGAUCCGAGAUCCAGCUAAUACAGUAAGUUACUUAUAAAUAAAGACAUGUGUUGGUAUAUGGUAAGACCUGAGAAUUGUUUAUAAAUGAUUUACGUUUCAGUGGCCAGACAAGGCGGGGCACAGGAGACGCUGGUGAAGUUGGGAGGGUUGUUCAAGAACAACUUUGAGGGGUUCUUAAACUACAAGAUUGGAUCAGAUAACGUCACGGAGGAAAUAUUGUCUGUAUAGUUGUGUUAAUCCAGUGAGAAAAUAAUAUUGCAUACUAAACCAACCGAUUUCGGGGUUUUUUUUUCGGUUUCAGUCCUAAACCGGUUUUUUUGUUGGAAUUUCUACUUUUACUUUUGUUGUUGAAAUGCCCAAAUCGAAGCAAGUUGCCCAGUUUGAUAUCUAAAUGUUUCGGUUAAGGUACGGUGUUCCCGGAUUAAUGAUGUGGUUUGGUACUGGCCUUUUAAACUGAAUCGGUUGUUUAACUUCUAUUCUAUUUAUAUUUUUGGAA